GACGAACGCUGGCGGCGUGCUUAACACAUGCAAGUCGAACGGUGAAGCGCCUUCCUUUUUGGUGGGUGUGGAUGAGUGGCGAACGGGUGAGUAACACGUGAGUAACCUGCCCCCUUCUUCUGGAUAACCGCAUGAAAGUGUGGCUAAUACGGGAUAUUCUGGGUCUGUCGCAUGAUGGGUCUGGGAAAGAUAUUGUUUCGGUGGGGGAUGGGCUCGCGGCCUAUCAGCUUGUUGGUGGGGUGAUGGCCUACCAAGGCGGUGACGGGUAGCCGGCCUGAGAGGGUGGACGGUCACACUGGGACUGAGACACGGCCCAGACUCCUACGGGAGGCAGCGGUAGGGAAUAGUGCACAAUGGGCGCAAGCCUGAUGCAGCGACGCCGCGUGAGGGAUGGAGGCCUUCGGGUUGUGAACCUCUUUCGCCAGUGAAGCAGGCCUGCCUCGUUUGUGGGUGGGUUGACGGUAGCUGGAUAAGAAGCGCCGGCUAACUACGUG
rnacentral:rRNA from 1 species